AACGAACGCUGGCGGCAGGCCUAACACAUGCAAGUCGAACGAGCUGAGACCUUCGGGUCUCGAUGCUAGUGGCGCACGGGUGAGUAACGCGUGGGAACGUACCCUUUAGUAUGGAAUAACCCAGGGAAACUUGGGCUAAUACCGUAUACGCCCUUCGGGGGAAAGAUUUAUCGCUAAAGGAUCGGCCCGCGUCUGAUUAGGUAGUUGGUGAGGUAACGGCUCACCAAGCCGACGAUCAGUAGCUGGUCUGAGAGGAUGAUCAGCCACACUGGGACCGAGACACGGCCCAGACUCCUACGGGAGGCAGCAGUGGGGAAUAUUGGACAAUGGGCGAAAGCCUGAUCCAGCCAUGCCGCGUGAGUGAAGAAGGCCUUCGGGUUGUAAAGCUCUUUCGACGGGGACGAUGAUGACGGUACCCGUAUGAGAAGCCCCGGCAAACUUCGUGCCAGCAGCCGCCGUAA
rnacentral:rRNA from 1 species